AUGACAAGAAGAGGAGGAUCAGUAGCGGCAGUGUGCAGAGAUGAGGGUGGAAACUAUAUGGGCAGCUCGGCCCUAGUUGUCGAGGGAGUGGAAGACCCAGCAACUCUUGAAGCUUUCGCUUGCCGGGAGGCUUUAUCGCUUGCAGAAGAUAUGGGUAUCCAGAAUUUUGUUAUAGCUUCGGACUGCCAACAAGUGGUAUCGGACAUCAACAGGAAGUCACAUGGGACGUAUGGAGCGAUCAUCGCGGAAAUAAAUCUUAGAGCAUCUUUAUUUCAUUGUAUCUUUUCCUUUGAAAGUCGUGCUAUCAAUUAUGAGGCACAUAGCUUAGCCAAGUUUUCCCUCUCGAGAGGUCCAGGGCGCCACGUCUGGUUCGGCGUUCCUCAUGACCAGAGAUGUAUCCCACUUGAUGUGGAUUUUAAUGAAUAA
rnacentral:rRNA from 1 species